rnacentral:rRNA from 1 species
UACGUAGGGCGCAAGCGUUGUCCGGAAUUAUUGGGCGUAAAGAGCUCGUAGGCGGUUUGUCGCGUCUGCUGUGAAAACCUAAGGCUCAACCUUGGGCUUGCAGUGGGUACGGGCAGACUAGAGUGCGGUAGGGGUGACUGGAAUUCCUGGUGUAGCGGUGAAAUGCGCAGAUAUCAGGAGGAACACCGAUGGCGAAGGCAGCUCACUGGGACGGUACUGACGCUGAGGCGCGAAAGCGUGGGGAGCAAACAGG